GCCUAAUGUACUAUUCUGUAAUUCUGUAGCAUUCGGGGCAUCCAUUUUUUGUUAGAUGGUGUCUUGUUGUCUCUCGAAAGCAAUCAAGUACGAAUUCAGAGCUCCAAAAUUGAGGAUACUCUCAAAAAGAGAAAAAAGGAAAUAGAGUACUUCCACGAAAGUGAAGAUCAAAUUAAAGUCGAGAUGAACUCGGUUGAAGAAGCCGUUGCAAGACAUGCUGUUGUAAGACUUGUCCGGGAAAAUGCCGAGCUUCGAGCACUCUCCGAGAAGACGGCUCUCGAGAAUGAGGAACUGAGAAGGGCCCUCGACAAGGUAAGGAUUCUCCCGAUUCCACUCUCUGGCAUCGUGGGUGUGAUGGGGAGGGUCAGGUGUCCUGCACCUGAACAGA